rnacentral:rRNA from 1 species
GGGUUAGUAGGUUGGUCAUGCCUCUGGUAUGCACUGGUCUCACUGAUUCCUCCUUCCUGAUGAGCCGUAAUGCCAUUAAUUUGGUGUUGCGGGGAAUUUGGACUGUUACUUUGAGAAAAUUAGAGUGUUCAAAGCAAGCUAACGCUUGAAUACAUUAGCAUGGAAUAAUGAAAUAGGACGUUCGAUCCUAUUUUGUUGGUUUCUAGGACAACCGUA